rnacentral:lncRNA from 1 species
UCUGGAUAAAAAUUAUUGAUUGGUUGAAUUAAUUGAUGUGUAGAAACAUGGAACAAUACUUUAAGAGAAAAUUGUCUACGGUUAGUUUGUAUUGUUAGGUUUGCCAUGAAUUAUGAAUGGAAGUAUGUUUUGUUUUUUAGUGUUGUUUUCUUCUGGAUAUGUGUUUCUCGAAUCUUCUCAAAAUUGGAUAAAGAGAACUUAGGAUAUGGAGGUUUUGAGGGAGAUGAUGGCAACCUAGAUGAGGGGAUUGAAGGAUUUGGGGCCUUUGUUGGGGGAAGGGGGGAGGGAAGGGAAUACAAACAGAGAGGGAGGGAGAAGUGGAGUGGGACUGCAAGUGGAUAGAGGUGGGAGGGUAGGGCACAACGAAGGGAGACUGUGAACUGGAUAGAAGUGGCUGUGGUAUAAUAUUUUUUAAAUCUUUUAUUUUUAUUUUUAUUUUGAAGGGUAAAAUAGAGACCCAAUUUCUAGCUGGAAAAACAUUUAAAUUUUCUUUAGAAAAAUACACAUGUCAAUAUUUGAGUGGAAGUAUCACCUGCUAAUGUGGUGAUACCGUACCAUUCUAUAGUUGAUCAUGUUUUUGGCUGUGCGGUUUGUCACAAAUUUUCAUUCCAUCUUCAACGGUUCACUUCCUGUAUUCUUGGAAUUUCAUUAUUUGACAUAUAUUGCCUCGUCUGAUAUUUCAGUCUCAAAUAUCUGAGAUUGUUGUUAAAAGAAUUUUUCAACACAAGUAAAGCGUUCAAAGCAGCGAGGUUCUGACAUUUCUUAGGUGGAGGCUUGAGUUUGGUCUACAUCUGUCACAAUGAUAGCCAUUGGAGAACAAUCAGGAUAAAACCAAAUAACAUAACAAAAACAAUACGAAAUAUAUUCUAUAUAAAUAAUCAAAUCAAUACAUGAGUAGAAAUACAAAAUACUGACUUGGAUAGAUGAUAGAGUCCUAUAGAGUUACAAUGUCCUUUAUGCAGUAUUUCUCCUCUACCUUUGUGUUUGUAGUUUGAUAGGAGUCUGCCUGGGAUUAAACUAUCACAAAUCAAAGCUAAGUCACUGCUGUGGCUUUGAUUUCUAUCGAACAACGAUAUGCUUUCUCUCAGGAAG